rnacentral:lncRNA from 1 species
UGGGAGAUGCUCAGGAUGACCGAUUCAUUGUGGAUGGAUAAUCAAUCCCCUUGUCAGGUUAGUGGGGAGGCCUAAAUAAAUUUGGGUGUCAUAACUGUAAAACGGUUAAGAAGGGAGUAAUUGAUACUUGUGAAAUUUCAUGUUCUUUGUUAUUUAUGUACUGUUUGAUUGAACAUCUACAGCUGCUGCAACUUCUGCGAAGCCGAAACCGAAGCAUGACAAGAAGGGUAGACAGUUGAAUGCAGAGGAAAAAACUUCCCAGCUUUAAAUGAUCUCAUUGACAACUCAAAAAGGGAGAAUAUCCACAUACAAGUCCUGUCCAGUUCAAUGUAAGUAAUUCUUGCUCCGAUCAUCACCAGCUCCAAAUCAGAAGGCCUGUCCAGGGAGAAGAAAAGUAGUUGGUGAGAAUGAUGAGAACAAGAGACCAGCAACUAUUACUGGGCAGUGGGCAGCUCAACAGGUGGAUGAUUAAGCUGUUGAAGCAUUGAACCGAGAUAUGGUCUGGUUAGUGAGUAUGGAGUUAAGUUGCUUAUAAUUUGGGGAAUACACUUUUGAAGGAAGAAGUUGGCAAAGAUGAAGAAGAACAUUAUGGGAUAGAGGAGAUUCAGAGUCCUUACUGAUCCUUAUUGAUAUGUUCGACGAAGAUGGGAGUUUUUUUGGUACGAACCGUACAUAAUCGUAGGUCAUUAGAUGUUGUAAUUCACGUUAGGGUUUCUGCUUCAAAUAGGUGAAUUAGGAAUAUGCCUAUUAUAUUGUGAGAAGGCAGAAAUGGGAAGUGAGAAAUGACAAACGUGAAAGCUUUCUUGGAAUUUUCUGUAUUUCUUAACUGUAAACAAGAACUAGUUUUCCUGUCAACCAAAGAAGAAUCAAAAUGCUAGUAGUACAUCAAACGAACCAUUGCCCAGAAAACGACACUGCUACGCUAUGUAACCAGU